UUUGGGCAUCUGUUGGAUGAAAACAUGGGAUCCAAGUUUGAUAAUAUUGGCAUGAACGCCAUGGCUAACAAAGACAAUGCAAGCUUCAAACAGCUCAAGUGGGAAGCUGAGCGUGAUGAUUGGCUGCACAACAGAGAUGUGAAAAGCAUCAUCAAGAAAAAGAAAAAUUUCAAAAGGAAGAUGAAAAUCCCUCAAAAAUCCAAAAAGCAGAGGAAAUGAGUGCUUCGGAGUGAAUAAUAAAUGAAGAUUCUACUCACCCUUAAUUCUUGCUAUCCAACCACUUUUCUUGAUCUUUCUCUCUCACUCCAUACAUUCCAGACUGUUCCAUGGAUUUGUAAUAAACUAUAGAAACGAAAUGCUGUCAUGUAUAAA